rnacentral:rRNA from 1 species
CCUAACACAUGCAAGUCGAGCGGUAGAGAGAAGCUUGCUUCUCUUGAGAGCGGCGGACGGGUGAGUAAUGCCUAGGAAUCUGCCUGGUAGUGGGGGAUAACGUUCGGAAACGGACGCUAAUACCGCAUACGUCCUACGGGAGAAAGCAGGGGACCUUCGGGCCUUGCGCUAUCAGAUGAGCCUAGGUCGGAUAAGCUAGUUGGUGAGGUAAUGGCUCACCAAGGCGACGAUCCGUAACUGGUCUGAGAGGAUGAUCAGUCACACUGGAACUGAGACACGGUCACAGACUCCUACGGGAGGCAGCAGUGGGGAAUAUUGGACAAUGGGCGAAAGCCUGAUCACAGCCAUGCCGCGUGUGUGAAGAAGGUCUUCGGAUUGUAAAGCACUUUAAGUUGGGAGGAAGGGCAGUUACCUAAUACGUGAUUGUUUUGACGUUACCGACAGAAUAAGCACCGGCUAACUCAUGUGCCAGCAGCCGCGGUAAUACAGAGGGUGCAAGCGUUAAUCGGAAUUACUGGGCGUAAAGCGCGCGUAGGUGGUUAGUUAAGUGGGAUGUGAAAUCCCCGGGGCUCA